rnacentral:lncRNA from 1 species
AAUCGCCCAACCCUAAAUCCCACACUUCGAUUACCGAUUUACCUCCACAAACUGGUGCGUUUAAGCUCGGAGGGAUGACCUUUCAGCCUUGAGAUCUCCUUUCAACUUCGAUUUCAACGAAGCAAGAAGCAACUUAUGGCAUAUUCGCAAGAUAAGGCCCCUCUUUCUCUUUUUCUUUUAUUUUUUAAACGCAAUGAUGAAUGAUUUGAAAGAAUAAAUCGCCAGGAAAUGUAAAAAUAAAUAAAUAAAUAAAUAAAUUCAAACAGAAAUAACCUUUGAAAAAUUUUGACUGCUUUCUUUGUAUUCAGUAUUCGUUCGUAAUCUUUUUGCACUAAUUUUCUUGGCCUUUUAUAAAUGAUUUACAGAAUAAAUAAAUAAAGAAAAUAAAGAAAAACUCUAAUUGUUGCUGUCAUCUGCUGGCUUAUUUCUGUUAUCAUUUCUGUUCUUGCAGGUUCUAAUACUGACGUGGAGGAGUACGGAGAAGAAAGCUACUCGUGGGGAGGCCGUCUGUGGGUGGCUCGAUUCCAUGGCUAACUGCAGUGCUAGCAUGUUCCAGAAACCCUAGGGGUUUCUGGUACUCUUGGAUUAGUGGGCCCCUUUAGGUUUGGGCUAGAAUUGGGCCAAAUUAGGUUUAUCUUAGAUGGGAUAAAUUUGGAUUUAUUUUAAUGUUUGGGUUUAGUUGGAUUUAGGCCCGAAAAUUUGUAAAUAGACACUGGACCUAUAAAUGAUUUGGUUUAUUAUUUAUUUCUGUUUGAUUUUAUUAUUUUUUUUGUUUUUGGUUUUUUUAGGUUUUUUAUGGGCCCAGGCAAAUUGGGCCUAUUACAACAUUUAAUUUGGUUUUAUUUUAGUUAUAAAUUAUUUAUUUACCUAAUUACAAUUAUAUCUCUUUUAAUUUACAUUCAAGUCUUUAACAUUUUCAAGUCUAAA